rnacentral:rRNA from 2 species
AGGUUAAGUUAACAAGGGCGCAUGGUGAAUGCCUUGGCACUAGGAGCCGAUGAAGGACGGGACUAACACCGAUAUGCUUCGGGGAGCUGUACGUAAGCUAUGAUCCGGAGAUUUCCGAAUGGGGCAACCCAGCAGUUUUAAUCAACUGUUACCACUAGAUGAAUUCAUAGUCUAGUUGGAGGUAAACGCUGUGAACUGAAACAUCUCAUUAGCAGCAGGAAUAUAAAGAAAUUUCGAUUCCCUAAGUAGCGGCGAGCGAACGGGGAACAGCCCAAACCAAAGUGCUUGCACUUUGGGGUUGUAGGACUGAACAUUUGAGUUACCAAAGAACUUGAUAGUCGAAGGAUUUGGGAAAAUCCGCCAUAGAUGGUGAUAGCCCAGUAGAUUAAAUCAAAUUCUCUCAGUUCAGGAUCCUGAGUACGGCGGAACACGUGAAAUUCCGUCGGAAUCCGGGAGGACCAUCUCCCAAGGCUAAAUACUACCUAGUGACCGAUAGUGAACCAGUACCGUGAGGGAAAGGUGAAAAGCACCCCGGGAGGGGAGUGAAAUAGUUCCUGAAACCAUGUGCCUACAAUAAGUCAGAGCGCGUUAAUGCGUGAUGGCGUGCCUUUUGUAGAAUGAACCGGCGAGUUAUGAUCCCGUGCAAGGUUAAGACUAAAAAGUCGGAGCCGUAGCGAAAGCGAGUCUGAAAUGGGCGUUUUGAGUACGAGGUUAUAGACCCGAAACCAGGUGACCUAUCCAUGUCCAGGUUGAAGGUGCGGUAAAACGCACUGGAGGACCGAACCCGUGUAAGUUGAAAAUUGCUGGGAUGAGGUGUGGAUAGCGGUGAAAUUCCAAACGAACUUGGAGAUAGCUGGUUCUCUCCGAAAUAGCUUUAGGGCUAGCCUCGGAAUUAGGAUCAUGGAGGUAGAGCACUAUUUGGACUAGGGGCCCGUCUUGGGUUACUGAAUUCAGAUAAACUCCGAAUGCCAUUGAUUCAUAUCCGGGAGUCAGACGAUGAGUGAUAAGAUCCACCGUCGAAAGGGGAACAGCCCAGACCAUCAGUUAAGGUCCCUAAAUGUAUGCUAAGUGGAAAAGGAUGUGGAGUUGCAUAGACAACUAGGAUGUUGGCUCAGAAGCAGCCACCAUUUAAAGAGUGCGUAAUAGCUCACUAGUCGAGUGAUCCUGCGCCGAAAAUGUACCGGGGCUAAGCAUACUACCGAAACCAUGGAUGCGACCAUUAGGUCGCGUGAUAGGAGAGCGUUCUAAGGGCGGUGAAGCAAGAUCGUGAGGACUUGUGGAGCGCUUAGAAGUGAGAAUGCCGGUAUGAGUAGCGAAAGAUAGGUGAGAAUCCUAUCCACCGAAUGACUAAGGUUUCCUGGGGAAGGCUCGUCCUCCCAGGGUUAGUCGGGACCUAAGUCGAGGCCGAGAGGCGUAGACGAUGGAUAACAGGUUGAGAUUCCUGUACUAGUUAAGUGCGUUUGAGCAAUGGAGGGACGCAGGAGGCUAAGAUGUGCAUUCUGUUGGAUUAGAAUGUCCAAGCAGUAAGUCUUGUGAAGAGUCAAAUGCUUUUCACUUUAAGGACAAGCUGUGAUGGGGAGCGAAAUUUAGUAGCGAAGCGUCUGAUGUCACACUGCCGAGAAAAGCUUCUAGUGAGUACUUAACUACCCGUACCGCAAACCGACACAGGUAGUCGAGGAGAGAAUCCUAAGGUGAGCGAGUGAACUCUCGUUAAGGAACUCGGCAAAAUGACCCCGUAACUUCGGGAGAAGGGGUGCUGAUCGCAAGAUCAGCCGCAGUGAAUAGGCCCAGGCGACUGUUUAUCAAAAACACAGGUCUCUGCAAAAUCGUAAGAUGACGUAUAGGGGCUGACGCCUGCCCGGUGCUGGAAGGUUAAAAGGAUGGGUUAGCUUCGGCGAAGCUCAGAAUUGAAGCCCCAGUAAACGGCGGCCGUAACUAUAACGGUCCUAAGGUAGCGAAAUUCCUUGUCGGGUAAGUUCCGACCCGCACGAAAGGCGUAACGAUCUGGGCACUGUCUCAACGAGAGACUCGGUGAAAUUAUAUUGUCCGUGAAGAUGCGGACUACCCGCGACAGGACGGAAAGACCCCAUGGAGCUUUACUGUAGCUUGAUAUUGAGUGUUUGUACAGCUUGUACAGGAUAGGUAGGAGCCAUAGAAACCGGAACGCUAGUUUCGGUGGAGGCGUUGGUGGGAUACUACCCUCGCUGUAUGACCACUCUAACCCGCACCACUAAUCGUGGUGGGAGACAGUGUCAGGUGGGCAGUUUGACUGGGGCGGUCGCCUCCUAAAAAGUAACGGAGGCGCCCAAAGGUUCCCUCAGAAUGGUUGGAAAUCAUUCGCAGAGUGUAAAGGCACAAGGGAGCUUGACUGCGAGACAGACAGUCGAGCAGGGACGAAAGUCGGGCUUAGUGAUCCGGUGGUACCGUAUGGAAGGGCCAUCGCUCAACGGAUAAAAGCUACCCUGGGGAUAACAGGCUUAUCUCCCCCAAGAGUCCACAUCGACGGGGAGGUUUGGCACCUCGAUGUCGGCUCAUCGCAUCCUGGGGCUGUAGUCGGUCCCAAGGGUUGGGCUGUUCGCCCAUUAAAGCGGUACGCGAGCUGGGUUCAGAACGUCGUGAGACAGUUCGGUCCCUAUCCGUCGCGGGCGUAGGAAAUUUGAGAGGACCUGUCCUUAGUACGAGAGGACCGGGAUGGACAUACCUCUGGUGUACCAGUUGUGCCGCCAGGCGCAUCGCUGGGUAGCUACGUAUGGAUGUGAUAAACGCUGAAAGCAUCUAAGUGUGAAACACACCUCGAGAUGAGAUUUCCCAUUCCUUUAUGGAAGUAAGACCCCUGAAAGAUGAUCAGGUAGAUAGGUUAGAAGUGGCAGUGCGGUGACGCAUGAAGCGGACUAAUACUAAUCGGUCGAGGACUUAACCAAG